rnacentral:rRNA from 1 species
AUUGAACGCUGGCGGAAUGCUUUACACAUGCCAGUCGAACGGCAGCACGGGGGCAACCCUGGUGGCGAGUGGCGAACGGGUGAGUAAUACAUCGGAACGUGCCCGGUCGUGGGGGAUAACGUAGCGAAAGUUACGCUAAUACCGCAUACGAUCUGAGGAUGAAAGCGGGGGACCUUCGGGCCUCGCGCGAUCGGAGCGGCCGAUGUCAGAUUAGGUAGUUGGUGGGGUAAAGGCCUACCAAGCCGACGAUCUGUAGCUGGUCUGAGAGGACGACCAGCCACACUGGGACUGAGACACGGCCCAGACUCCUACGGGAGGCAGCAGUGGGGAAUUUUGGACAAUGGGCGCAAGCCUGAUCCAGCCAUUCCGCGUGAAGGACGAAGGCCUUCGGGUCGUAAAACGCUUUUGUAUGGAACGAAAAGGCUCUGGCUAAUACCUGGGGCUCAUGACGGUACCGAAAGAAUAAGCACCGGCUAACUACGUG